rnacentral:rRNA from 1 species
AGAGUUUGAUCCUGGCUCAGGUUGAACGCUGGCGGCAUGCCUUACACAUGCAAGUCGAACGGCAGCACGGGGGCAACCCUGGUGGCGAGUGGCGAACGGGUGAGUAAUACAUCGGAACGUGCCCUGAAGUGGGGGAUAACGUAGCGAAAGUUACGCUAAUACCGCAUAUUCUGUGAGCAGGAAAGCAGGGGAUCGCAAGACCUUGCGCUUUAGGAGCGGCCGAUGUCGGAUUAGCUAGUUGGUGAGGUAAAGGCUCACCAAGGCGACGAUCCGUAGCGGGUCUGAGAGGAUGAUCCGCCACACUGGGACUGAGACACGGCCCAGACUCCUACGGGAGGCAGCAGUGGGGAAUUUUGGACAAUGGGCGAAAGCCUGAUCCAGCCAUGCCGCGUGAGUGAAGAAGGCCUUCGGGUUGUAAAGCUCUUUCGGCGGGGAAGAAAUCGCACUCUCUAAUACAGGGUGUGGAUGACGGUACCCGAAUAAGAAGCACCGGCUAACUACGUGCCAGCAGCCGCGGUAAUAC